rnacentral:rRNA from 1 species
GUACACGCUGUGACUAGCAUAUCAAUAAGCGGAGGAAAAGAAACUAACAAGGAUUCCCCUAGUAACGGCGAGUGAAGCGGGAAGAGCUCAAAUUUGAAAUCUUAAAGGGUUUCCCUUUACGAAUUGUAGUUUAAAGAAGUGUUUUCUGUUGAGGUUUUGGUAAAAGUUCUUUGGAAUAGGACAUCAUAGAGGGUGAGAAUCCCGUAUUUGACCUUUACUUUCAACUUUGUGAUACACUUUCAAAGAGUCGGAUUGUUUGGGAAUGCAGUCCAAAAUGGGUGGUAAAUUUCAUCUAAAGCUAAAUAUUGGCGAGAGACCGAUAGCGAACAAGUACCGUGAGGGAAAGACGAAAAGAACUUUGAAAAGAGAGUUAAACAGUACGUGAAAUUGUCAAAAGGGAAGCGUUUGACACCAGUGUUGUUUUUCUGAAAAUCAAUUAAAGAACUGUUUAUGCUAAGUUGUUUAGACUUUAUCAGCUAUCUGUUUAGUUUUGAGCUUUUCUUUAAUGCACUUUUCAGUUAACAAGUCAACAUCAAUUUCUCUUGCUGUAAAAAAGCUUGAGGAAGGUGGCUUGAGAUUCGUCUUAAGUGUUUAUAGCCUCUUGCCUAUGCAGUCGGAGAGAUUGAGGUCUGCAGCGUAGAUCCUUCGGGGCUAAAUGCAUUUGUGCUAAGUUAUAGCAUUUUAUAGACAACUUGUUGACUAUGAUUUGUCUUGUAGCUUACUCGCUUAUGUUAUUUUACCUACGCUUAGGAUGUUGACAGCAGUAUAGACUGU